CCUCUUUGAAGAUGAAAACAAUUCAACAACCUUCUUCUCCAUGCCUUUCAGAAUGAAUUUCUUCUUCUCCCGGAUUUUUCUUUCAAUUCUUGGCUGAAGUUUCAAGCUGUGAUCACUCCAGGCAGGGGUUUCCAGAGGAGCUACUCUACCUGAGAAGCAAAAGUGACCAAGACAGAGGAACUUCUUCUCUCCUAAUCGUGCACUUCAGAGGAGGAGAUACAUGAUAGUACCCAGGUAAAUGCAUGCAUAAACAGCCCAUAAUAGUACAGAGAUAAACACAAGCAUAGAUAGUACAGAAUCAUAUAUAGGUAAGCACAUGCAUAUCCAGUAUAUAAUAGGACACA
rnacentral:lncRNA from 1 species